AUUGAACGCUGGCGGCAUGCUUUACACAUGCAAGUAGGACGAGUGGAGAACGGGUGAGUAACGCAUCGGAACGUACCGAGUAAAGGGGGAUAACUGUCCGAAAGGACAGCUAAUACCGCAUAUCAUUGGAGCGGCCGAUGUCUGAUUAGCUGGUUGGCGGGGUAAAGGCCCACCAAGGCGAAGAUCAGUAGCGGGUCUGAGAGGGUGAUCCGCCACACUGGUACUUAGACACGGCCCCUACUCCUACGGGAGGCAGCAGUGGGGAAUUUUGGACAAUGGGCGCAAUCCUGAUCCAGCCAUGCCGCGUGUCUGAAGAAGGCCUUCGGGUUGUAAAGGACUUUUGUCAGGGAAGCGGUACCUAAAGAAUAAGCACCGGCUAACUACGUGCCAGCCGCCGCGGUAAUUC
rnacentral:rRNA from 1 species